CAAGAACAUUAAACCACCUGAU
rnacentral:miRNA from 12 species